rnacentral:rRNA from 1 species
AGUGAACGCUGGCGGUAGGCCUAACACAUGCAAGUCGAACGGCAGCACAGUAAGAGCUUGCUCUUACGGGUGGCGAGUGGCGGACGGGUGAGGAAUACAUCGGAAUCUACUUUUUCGUGGGGGAUAACGUAGGGAAACUUACGCUAAUACCGCAUACGACCUACGGGUGAAAGCAGGGGAUCUUCGUACCUUGCGCGAUUGGAUGAGCCGAUGUCGGGUUAGCUAGUUGGCGGGGUAAAGGCCCACCAAGGGGACGAUCCGUAGCUGGUCUGAGAGGAUGAUCAGCCACACUGGAACUGAGACACGGUCCAGACUCCGACGGGAGGCAGCAGUGGGGAAUAUUGGACGAUGGGCGCAAGCAUGAUCCAGCCAUACCGCGUGGGUGAAGAAGGCCUUCGGGUUGUAAAGUCCUUUUGUUGGGAAAGAAAAGCAGCAGGUUAAUACCCCGCUGUUAUGACGGUACCCAAAGAAUAAGCACCGGCUAACUUCGUG